AUCGCUUUUUUAAAGAGGAAAGUCCGGGCAACACAGAGCAGGGUAAUCGCUAACAGCGACCGUCCGCAAGGACAGGGAAAGUACCACAGAAACAAAACUGCCAGCUAACUGGUGAUGGUGAAAAGAGUGGGGUAAGAGCCCACAGUGUACUGUAGCGAUACGGUGCAGAGGCAAACCCUACCCGUUGCAAGGAGUGCUAUCAGCCUUUGCUCGAGGACGCACGCUCACCGCUAGAGUGCUAUAGCAAUGUAGUGCCAAGAUAGAUGAUUGC
rnacentral:RNase_P_RNA from 1 species